rnacentral:rRNA from 1 species
AUGCAGUCGAGCGGUAGCACAGAGAGCUUGCUCUCGGGUGACGAGCGGCGGACGGGUGAGUAAUGUCUGGGAAACUGCCUGAUGGAGGGCGAUAACUACUGGAAACGGUAGCUAAUACCGCAUAACGUCGCAAGACCAAAGUGGGGGACCUUCGGGCCUCAUGCCAUCAGAUGUGCCCAGAUGGGAUUAGCUAGUAGGUGGGGUAACGGCUCACCUAGGCGACGAUCCCUAGCUGGUCUGAGAGGAUGACCAGCCACACUGGAACUGAGACACGGUCCAGACUCCUACGGGAGGCAGCAGUGGGGAAUAUUGCGCAAUGGGCGCAAGCCUGAUGCAGCCAUGCCGCGUGUGUGAAGAAGACCUUCGGGUUGUAAAGCACUUUCAGCGGGGAGGAAGGCGAUGAGGUUAAUAACCUCAUCGAUUGACGUUACCCGCAGAAGAAGCACCGGCUAACUCCGUGCCAGCAGCCGCAGUAAUACGGAGGGUGCAAGCGUUAAUCGGAAUUACUGGGCGUAAAGCGCACGCAGGCGGUCUGUCAAGUCGGAUGUGAAAUCCCCGGGCUCAACCUGGGAACUGCAUUCGAAACUGGCAGGCUAGAGUCUUGUAGAGGGGGGUAGAAUUCCAGGUGUAGCGGUGAAAUGCGUAGAGAUCUGGAGGAAUACCGGUGGCGAAGGCGGCCCCCUGGACAAGACUGACGCUCAGUGCGAAGCGUGGGAGCAACAGGAU